rnacentral:rRNA from 1 species
CUUGGUCAUUUAGAGGAAGUAAAAGUCGUAACAAGGUCUCCGUUGGUGAACCAGCGGAGGGAUCAUUAUCGAGUUAUUCAACUCCCAAACCCUAUGUGAACUUACCACUUGUUGCUUCGGCGCGCGCUUCAGCGCCGCCGAGGACACUUAAACUCUUUGUUUUUAUAAGCAUUUCUGAGUGGCCGAAAGGCAAAAAUACAAAUGAAUCAAAACUUUCAACAACGGAUCUCUUGGUUCUGGCAUCGAUGAAGAACGCAGCGAAAUGCGAUAAGUAAUGUGAAUUGCAGAAUUCAGUGAAUCAUCGAAUCUUUGAACGCACAUUGCGCCCGCCAGCAUUCUGGCGGGCAUGCCUGUUCGAGCGUCAUUUCAACCCUCGAGCCCGACUCUUUUGAGGACGGCUCGGCGUUGGGGGACGGCAGACUCCCCCCGGCAUCUCGCCGGGGACGCCGCCCCCGAAAUCUAGUGGCGGCCCUCCGAGGCGACCUCUGCGUAGUAACUUGUUCUCGCACCGGAAAGCUCAGAGCGGCCACGCCGUAAAACCCCAACUUUUUUCAGGUUGACCUCGAAUCAGGUAGGACUAC